AGAGUUUGAUCCUGGCUCAGAACGAACGCUGGCGGCGUGCCUAACACAUGCAAGUCGAACGGGGAUAGGGAGCUUGCUUCCUAUUCUAGUGGCGCACGGGUGAGUAACGCGUAGAUAAUCUGCCUGAUGAUCUGGGAUAACACUUCGAAAGAGGUGCUAAUACCGGAUAAGCCCACGGGGUCUUUGGACUUUGCGGGAAA
rnacentral:rRNA from 1 species